AAAAAGGCAAACUCUUAGUUUCCAUGUCCAACUUUGACUGUCCGUCUUAUAUGAAAUUUUUUUAUAAUUUGUAUUUUUAUUGUUGUUAGAUGAUAAAACAUGAUUAAUAUUUUAUGCGUGACUUGUCUUUUUAAUUUUUUUCAUAAUUUUUUUAAAUAAGACGGACGGUCAAACAUUGGACACAAAAAUCAGGGUUUGUCUUUUU
rfam:Oryza barthii chromosome 7, whole genome shotgun sequence.